AUUGAACGCUGGCGGCAGGCUUAACACAUGCAAGUCGAGCGGAGAUGAGGUGCUUGCACCUUAUCUUAGCGGCGGACGGGUGAGUAAUGCUUAGGAAUCUGCCUAUUAGUGGGGGACAACAUUCCGAAAGGAAUGCUAAUACCGCAUACGCCCCACGGGGGAAAGCAGGGGAUCUUCGGACCUUGCGCUAAUAGAUGAGCCUAAGUCGGAUUAGCUAGUUGGUGGGGUAAAGGCCUACCAAGGCGACGAUCUGUAGCGGGUCUGAGAGGAUGAUCCGCCACACUGGGACUGAGACACGGCCCAGACUCCUACGGGAGGCAGCAGUGGGGAAUAUUGGACAAUGGGGGGAACCCUGAUCCAGCCAUGCCGCGUGUGUGAAGAAGGCCUUAUGGUUGUAAAGCACUUUAAGCGAGGAGGAGGCUACUGAGACUAAUACUCUUGGAUAGUGGACGUUACUCGCAGAAUAAGCACCGGCUAACUCUGUGCCAGCCGCCGCCGUAACAC
rnacentral:rRNA from 1 species